rnacentral:rRNA from 1 species
UAGCUCUAGAUUUANGUUGAUCUAUGGCUCANCACUGAGACGCUGGCGUGACAGCUUAACACAUGCAAGUCGAGCGGGGAAGGGUAGCUUGCUACCUAACCUAGCGGCGGACGGGUAGAGUAAUGCUUAGGAAUCUGCCAUUUAGUGGGGGACAACAUUCCGAAAUGGAAUGCUAAUACCGCAUACGUCCUACGGGAGAAAGCAGUGGUGAUCUUCGGACCUUGCGCUAAAUUGAUUGAGCCUAAGUCGGACUAGCUAGUUUGGUNGGGGUAAAGGCCUACCAAGGCGACGAUCUGUAGCGGGUACUGAGAGUGAUGAUCCGCCACACUGGGACUGAGACACGGCCCAGACUCCUACGGGUGGCAGCAGU